GCCCGCUUGGCAUAGUGGUAUUGCGUCGCACUCGUAAAGUUCACGUGCGUCAUGCGAAAGUCGGCGGUUCAAUUCCGCCAGCGGGCA
rnacentral:tRNA from 1 species